rnacentral:rRNA from 1 species
GAUGAACGCUGACAGAAUGCUUAACACAUGCAAGUCGACUCGAGUCUUCGGACUUGGGUGGCGCACGGGUGAGUAACGCGUAAAGAACUUGCCUCUUAGACCGGGACAACAUCUGGAAACGGAUGCUAAUACCGGAUAUUAUGGUUUUUUCGUCAUGGAGGGAAUCAUGAAAGCUAGAUGCGCUAAGAGAGAGCUUUGCGUCCCAUUGGCUAGUUGGUGAGGUAACGGCCCACCAAGGCAAUGAUGGGUAGCCGGCCUGAGAGGGCGAACGGCCACAAGGGGACUGAGACACGGCCCUU